CAGUCGCCACGGGAAUACGGAGGGGGCUAGCGUUGUUCGGAAUUACUGGGCGUAAAGCGCACGUAGGCGGCUUUUUAAGUCAGAGGUGAAAGCCCGGGGCUCAACUCCGGAACUGCCUUUGAGACUGGGAGGCUUGAACGUCGGAGAGGUGAGUGGAAUUCCGAGUGUAGGGGUGAAAUUCGUAGAUAUUCGGAAGAACACCAGUGGCGAAGGCGGCUCACUGGACGACUGUUGACGCUGAGGUGCGAAAGCGUGGGGAGCAAACAGGAUUAGAUACCCGAGUAGUCCCUGUCUCUUAUAC
rnacentral:rRNA from 1 species